GGGCGUACCGGAGUAAAUUAGAGCGCCACGUUGACAUCGUGGAGGUCGCAAGUUCAAAUCUUGUGUCGCCCACCA
rnacentral:tRNA from 1 species